rnacentral:tRNA from 1 species
UGCAGGGUGAAGAAGUCUGGUAACUUGUAGGGUUCAUAAUCCGAAGGUUGCAGCUUCAAAUAUUAUUCCCGCAA